AUGCCAGGCAUUGUCCUAAAACAAAAGAUGAAGCACUUCUCCUUGCUGCCACCGUGUGAAGAAGGACGUGUUUGCUUCCCCUUCCACCAUGAUUGUAAGUUUCCUGAGGCCUCCCCAGGCAUGCUGAACUGUGAGUCAGUUAAACCUCUUUCCUUUAUAAAUUACCUGGUCUCAGGUUUGUCUUUAUUAACAGCGUGAAAAUGGAGUAAGACACUGGGGAUGGUAGAAGAUGAGGUUAGAGAGGUAGGCACAGCCAGGGAAUGACAGAAUAUUUUUGUAGUCAGCUGAGUACUUUGUAUUUUAUCCUGAUGGCUAUGAGAAGCCACAUGCGGUGGUCCAAUCUAUUUGACUUGGUGACUAAUGGGAUCUGGGGAGAAGGUGUAAAGGAACCAGGUGAGAUAUGAUGACAGCCUCGACCAAAGAUAUAACUGACAAAUAAAUGGCCUCAUGUGAUCCCAUAGGUUUCACUAGGCAGGAGAAGAAAGUAGAAUAAUUCUCCUAUCAGUAAUAUUAUUCUCCAACGACUACUCGGUACCUUUUUUCAUUAUUUAUGUAAAUUUUAUUGCCCCUAUUCAAUCAUCAGGUCCUUGAAGGAAGAUCAGAGAGACCUGUGUCUAAUUCAUGUUUGUGCUGCUCACACUUUCUAACACAGAUCUUGCACAUAUCAACGAUGCUAUAAAUAUAUAUUGAAUAAAUAUUAACACAGAAUUUGUGGGGGGGGGUGGUGCCAGAGUCAGUAUUUAAACCAAGAGAAAGCCCUUCAACUCCCUCCUUUGCAGAGAGAUUACUCAUUCUGCCAUACUGCACAUCCACAAGACAUUUACAGCCUACCAGAGACCUUUAAAGAAAGUUUCAUAACAUCCCUGCUGACCAUCUUUUUGGAGAUGGUGGGUACUAGAGUCUAUAUAAUUUCUAGAAGAUUCUAAAGUAGACUGCCAGACAUUAGAAAAAGAUCUGAAUUUAUGAGUCAGUCAUCCACAAGAGCUACAUGUUUGUCAGUGGCAGGGCCAAAAUCAACAGGACCUUCUUGCCAAAGUUUCGAGAUACCCACUUACCUAUUUAUUGAUAUCUAAGGGUUCAGGGUCACCAGGAUUCUCUAAAGUCAUCCAUUUGCAAACAUGUUCCAAGACCAGCAGUAUUUUGUAUAUGAAAGCUAUCUUGCAAUAUAGACUAGCUGAAUGAAAUGUCUGUCUUUGUCAUGAACUUUCAUGUUUUCAUUUCAGUAAUGCAAACCACAACAGUGCUAUGAUCAACCCUCAUCAUCAGUAUAGAAGAAAUUAUCUUAGUCCUAACCCAUGUUCUUACUGGUUUAUUCAUUUAUUUUCAGCUUUCUGCUCUUUGUUUAUUAUUUAUGUAAGAUGUUUUAGCUCUUUAUGCUGAGUUAAAAUGUAAUCAUUUUAUUAAUUUUUUUUUAAAAGUUAAAUUUCUAACCAUAAAUUAUAGGAUGAUUAGUUAAAGACAGAAAUCAGUUUUAAGCAAAAUAACUAAGGGCAUAUCCUCUUCCCAGCAUUUUUUAUAAAAGAAGUAUUUUAUUUUAAAAUAUUUCUAGACUUAACAGAAAAAUUGCAAAGAUAAUACAGAGUCCCAUAUACCCUAUACCCAUUCUCACUUAUUAACAUCUUACAUUAAUAUUGUCCAUUUGUGAUAAGUAAUGAACCAAUAUUGAUAUAUAGUUUUUAAUUAAAGUCUAUCAUGUAUUAAGAUUUCCUUAGUUUUUAGCUAAUAUUCUUUUUCUGUUCCAGGAUCCCAUCCAACAUAACUCAUUAAAUUUAGUUGUCAUGUCUCUUUAGGCCCUUGUUUGCCAUGACUGUUAAGACUUCCCUUGCUUUUUAUGACCUUGACAGUUUUGAGGAGUUCUCCUGUCAUUUCUCCUCACAUAUUUUGUAGAAUGUCCCCUAAUUGGGAAUUAUAUGAUGGCUUUCUCGUGAUUAGGCUGGAGUUAUGGAUUUAUGAGAUGAAGACCACAGAGGUAAAAUGUCAUUCUCAUCAUAUAUCAAGGCUGUGUACUAUCAGCAAGAUUUAUGACUGCUGAUAUUGACCUUAAUCACCUGCUUGGGGUGGUGUUUGUUAGUUUUCUCUACUGUAAAGUUACUCCUCUCAUCUUUUAUUUGUAUUUUAUAUUAUUGUUAUUAUAUGUUUAUUUGUUAUUAUUUUAGAGACAGACUCUCACUCUGUCACCCAGGCUAGAGGGCAGUGGUGUGAUCAUAGCUUACUGCAACCUUGAACUCCUGGGUUCAAGUGAUCCUCCCACCUCGACUUCCACAAGCGCUAGGAUUACAGCCCUUCUCCCCCACUGUACCUCCCCACAUUUUUAUAUUAUACUCUGGAAGGAAGCCACAAUGCAUAGCACACAAUUAAGAAGCAGCGAUUUAUACUCCACUCUUUGAUGGCAAAAUAUCUACAGAAAUUAUUUGAACUUCUUCUGCCCAGGAGAUUUGUCUAUUGUCCCCCAUUGAUUUACUUAUUCAAUCAUUUGUUUGUAUCAUUAUGGUCUCAUGGAUAUCUAUUUUGCACUUUCAAUACUAUUUUACUUUGUUGCUCAAGUUGUUCCAGCCCUGGCCAUGGAGAAUACAUUCAGUUGGCUCCUGUGUCCCUGUAACAUAGCCCUGUCAUUAUUGGAUUUGGUUGAGCACUUUCCUACUUUCAGGAGCUACAAAAUGCUCUAGGUUCGUCUUGUAUAUUUCCUGCUCCAUCCUAGAGUCCAUGUCUCCAAGGAGCUUGGUUCUUUUAUUGGAGAAUGGUAUUAGAAAUCAAGACCUGGACAUGCUCCUUGUUGCAGAGGUGUUAUUGCUUCUAGGCUAAGCUGACAGAGAAAUAACAUAUAUGUGUGUAAAUUAACCCAUGUCUAUACACAUAUAUCUAUAAAUCCUUCUCUUUGUAACUAUCUGUAUCUAUAUUAAGCUAAAUAUGAGUUGAUACUGAUGUCUCCAAUCCCAACCCAGUAGCACGUAGAUAAUUCUAACCUUCUCCCCCUUGCUUGUUUCCUCUCCCUCCUGCAAUGAAGAACCUGACUUCUGCCAUCAGCCAUUCAUUUAUUUCACUGUUCAAUUCCAGUCUCCUGUAUAGUACUUCCAUAAUUGUUAAGCCAUACCCACAUAGAAAUAACUUUAUAAGUUUGAGUGCUUAUAUAGAGCUCUUUUUGCCUUUAAUCUUACAGACUCGAUUCAUUUCCAAACUUACUUACGUAAGCAUUUUCUCUCACAUCCCCUUCAAUAAGCUUAUUUCAUGCAUUUGUAAUACAGUUAGAUUAUUUUGCCAUAUUUUACAUUUCAUCCUGGAAUCCUCCAACCUUCUAAAUAUUUUUUAAAUUUUGUAUAAUUAAGUUUCUCUCUUUAUGCCGUGAAGUUCUAUGGGUUUUGACAAGUGCAUAGUGUCAUGUAUCUAGUAUUAUCACGAUAUCAUAAAAAGAUAGUUUUACCACCCUUUAAAAAAUCCCUAGUGGUUGACCUAUUCAAUUCCUUUCACCAAGAGUUUCUGAAACCACUGGUCUAUCUGCCAUCUCCAUAAGAGUUUUGCCUUUUCCAGGAUAUCACUUAAAUGGAACUAUACAUUAUGUAGCCUUUUAAGACUGGCUUUUUUCACUUUGCAGCAUGCAUUUAAGAUUCAUCUAUGUCUUCCUGUGGUUUGACAGCUCAUUCCAUUGUGUGGAUGUGCCACAGUUUAUUUAGCCAUUCACCUACUAAAGUUUACUUCUAGUUUUUGGUAGUUAUAAAUAAAACUGCUAUAAAAUUCU
rnacentral:sRNA from 1 species